rnacentral:rRNA from 1 species
AUGCUGCAACAGCUAAUAAGAUGGGAAGACAACUCACUUUGCCCCUCCUCCAAGCACAUCAGCGACUCUUCGAUCUGCUUCUCUCCCUCGCAAGAUAUGGGAUUCUUAUAUACCAUUGCUGCAUCAUGUUGCACACAUGCAAUUCUAUUGUUUUGUGUAAGAGCCAUUGACUUUUGUGGAGAAGUUCGCAUCACGAUGGAAUUCUGCUGUCAAGGUCGCCAUGUCGGCGAGCUCAUUGGCGUCGUACUGCCCCAACAGGAGCGCCAUCGGGUCGGCGGCGCUGCUGGCGGCUGCAACCAUGGAUGA